CGGACCGUCGUGUGCACCCACCGCUUCCGACAGCGCCCCGGCCCCUCCACCGCCGCCCGCGGCUCUUCCACCUUGCGCGGAGUGGAGUUUUGCAAAGUCCUGGUUUCUCUCUCUUCGUGUGUGAGAGCGAGAGCUUUCGGACAGCGCCUGGGGCCUGCGCCGGGGGAAGGACGAAAGGAAGGAAGGCUUGCUUCGGGACCAGGGAGAGAAGUCACGGAGAGGAAGUCUAGCUUUGAGUCCGGAAAGAUUAACACCCCAACCUUGAUGGUCUACUAUCGUGGCAUUCUUCUUCGCACCCCUUCUGCCCACCUCAAAGAAGGCUCAAGAAGGUAAAGAGACAGCAGCCUGGACCUGCCUUAACCGAAGGCCCUUUUUUCAGCCAGCCAGCUGGAAACAGGAGGUAGAGAGAACUGAGUCAAAGAACCAUGUCCAGAGGCAGGAGGAUGGAUAUCAAAGAGAACCAGCAAACACAUCACAUGCACACACCGACUCCCAAGCAGCAUCAGAGGGGAGAGAAAAGUUCACCGGAUUUAAAGGAAUUGCUUAGCUUAUCUGCCUUCUAAUUUUCCCUCUGAAGCAACGAUGAAAAUAUCAGAUCAGACUUUACAAAUACUCUUUCUGUUGUUGUAAUUUCUGUGUGUGCCUGUGACGUGCUUAUUCCCUGCCAAGCUUACACUAUAUUAGGAAACUGUUCUGUAAAGCAUGUGACCCACCUUUCUGCACAACACACAAACCCAGGGGCUAGCCUAGCAAUGCUUUGUAAGAGCAGAUCAUCUCUUUGUACAGUUGUGAUUUUUAACAGAGCCUUGUAACAAUACUUGAAAAGAACAGCUCCUCCCCAACAAAGAGGGCAGCAUGGCUGAUAUGGCUGACUUUUCAAAUAACCUUGCAAGCAGGGACACAAGUGAGUAACAUGCUGGUUCAGAGGAUCUCAGAGCGGGAGCUGAAAGGGACCUUUGAAAUUGUCUAGUCCCAAACUCAUCUUACAGAUGAGGGAACUGAGGUAUAUCAGUUGAGUGUUUGGGUUGAACAUCACACAAGGAAUAGCGAGCUUCAUAUAGUGGGGAGAGA